rnacentral:tRNA from 1 species
GCCUGAGUGGCUCAGUCGGUUGAGCGUCUGACUUCGGCUCAGGACAUGAUCUCACGGUUCGUGAGUUCGAGCCCCGCGUCGGGCU